rnacentral:rRNA from 1 species
UGGCGGAGCGUCGUUUGCGACGCCCAACACAUAAAACAAGCGGUGAGUGCUUUGGGGUGGGGUGACUGCGUACCUUUUGUAUAAUGGGUCAGCGACUUAUAUUCUGUAGCAAGGUUAACCGAAUAGGGGAGCCGCAGGGAAACCGAGUCUUAAUUGGGCGUUAAGUUGCAGGGUAUAGACCCGAAACCCGGUGAUCUAGCCAUGGGCAGGUUGAAGGUUGGGUAACACUAACUGGAGGACCGAACCGACUAAUGUUGAAAAAUUAGCGGAUGACCUGUGGCUGGGGGUGAAAGGCCAAUCAAACCGGGAGAUAGCUGGUUCUCCCCGAAAGCUAUUUAGGUAGCGCCUCGUGAAUUCAUCUCCGGGGGUAGAGCACUGUUUCGGCUAGGGGGCCAUCCCGGCUUACCAACCCGAUGCAAACUGCGAAUACCGGAGAAUGUUAUCACGGGAGACACACGGCGGGUGCUAACGUCCGUCGUGAAGAGGGAAACAACCCAGACCGCCAGCUAAGGUCCCAAAGUCAUGGUUAAGUGGGAAACGAUGUGGGAAGGCCCAGACAGCCAGGAUGUUGGCUUAGAAGCAGCCAUCAUUUAAAGAAAGCGUAAUAGCUCACUGGUCGAGUCGGCCUGCGCGGAAGAUGUAACGGGGCUAAACCAUGCACCGAAGCUGCGGCAGCGACGCUGAUGCGUUGUUGGGUAGGGGAGCGUUCUGUAAGCCUGUGAAGGUGGCCUGUGAGGGUUGCUGGAGGUAUCAGAAGUGCGAAUGCUGACAUAAGUAACGAUAAAGCGGGUGAAAAGCCCGCUCGCCGGAAGACCAAGGGUUCCUGUCCAACGUUAAUCGGGGCAGGGUGAGUCGACCCCUAAGGCGAGGCCGAAAGGCGUAGUCGAUGGGAAACGGGUUAAUAUUCCCGUACUUGGUGUUACUGCGAAGGGGGGACGGAGAAGGCUAUGUUGGCCGGGCGACGGUUGUCCCGGUUUAAGCGUGUAGGUGUGUGUUCCAGGUAAAUCCGGUUCACUUUAACACUGAGGCGUGACGACGAGGCACUACGGUGCUGAAGCAACAAAUGCCCUGCUUCCAGGAAAAGCCUCUAAGCAUCAGGUAACAUCAAAUCGUACCCCAAACCGACACAGGUGGUCAGGUAGAGAAUACCAAGGCGCUUGAGAGAACUCGGGUGAAGGAACUAGGCAAAAUGGUGCCGUAACUUCGGGAGAAGGCACGCUGACACGUAGGUGAAGUGAUUUACUCAUGGAGCUGAAGUCAGUCGAAGAUACCAGCUGGCUGCAACUGUUUAUUAAAAACACAGCACUGUGCAAACACGAAAGUGGACGUAUACGGUGUGACGCCUGCCCGGUGCCGGAAGGUUAAUUGAUGGGGUCAGCGCAAGCGAAGCUCCUGAUCGAAGCCCCGGUAAACGGCGGCCGUAACUAUAACGGUCCUAAGGUAGCGAAAUUCCUUGUCGGGUAAGUUCCGACCUGCACGAAUGGCGUAAUGAUGGCCAGGCUGUCUCCACCCGAGACUCAGUGAAAUUGAACUCGCUGUGAAGAUGCAGUGUACCCGCGGCAAGACGGAAAGACCCCGUGAACCUUUACUAUAGCUUGACACUGAACAUUGAGCCUUGAUGUGUAGGAUAGGUGGGAGGCUUUGAAGUGUGGACGCCAGUCUGCAUGGAGCCGACCUUGAAAUACCACCCUUUAAUGUUUGAUGUUCUAACGUGGACCCGUGAUCCGGGUUGCGGACAGUGUCUGGUGGGUAGUUUGACUGGGGCGGUCUCCUCCUAAAGAGUAACGGAGGAGCACGAAGGUUGGCUAAUCCUGGUCGGACAUCAGGAGGUUAGUGCAAUGGCAUAAGCCAGCUUGACUGCGAGCGUGACGGCGCGAGCAGGUGCGAAAGCAGGUCAUAGUGAUCCGGUGGUUCUGAAUGGAAGGGCCAUCGCUCAACGGAUAAAAGGUACUCCGGGGAUAACAGGCUGAUACCGCCCAAGAGUUCAUAUCGACGGCGGUGUUUGGCACCUCGAUGUCGGCUCAUCACAUCCUGGGGCUGAAGUAGGUCCCAAGGGUAUGGCUGUUCGCCAUUUAAAGUGGUACGCGAGCUGGGUUUAGAACGUCGUGAGACAGUUCGGUCCCUAUCUGCCGUGGGCGCUGGAGAACUGAGGGGGGCUGCUCCUAGUACGAGAGGACCGGAGUGGACGCAUCACUGGUGUUCGGGUUGUCAUGCCAAUGGCACUGCCCGGUA